AUCAGCAAGAUUCACGUUUUAUGAUAAAUAUAAUGCGAAGUAAAUUAAAUGAGUCCAAUGCGGCCUAAAUGCCCCAAUAAAUAGAGUCUUCCAAAUUAAUUAAGCACAACGAUAGGUGGGGUUUACAUCCUCCCCACCUUAGAAAAUUUUGGUUCCUAAAUUUGUCUCGAAUAGGUCCAGAUACUUCUCCCUCAUCUCACUUUCCAACUCCCACAU
rnacentral:lncRNA from 1 species